rnacentral:rRNA from 1 species
GUGAGGAAUAUUGGUCAAUGGGCGGGAGCCUGAACCAGCCAAGUCGCGUGAAGGAAGAAGGAUCUAUGGUUCGUAAACUUCUUUUGCAGGGGAAUAAAGUGCAGGACGUGUCCUGUUUUGUAUGUACCCUGAGAAUAAGGAUCGGCUAACUCCGUGCCAGCAGCCGCGGUAAUACGGAGGAUCAGAGCGUUAUCCGGCUUUAUUGGGUUUCAAGGGUGCGUAGGUGGUUUGAUAAGUCAGCGGUGAAAGUUUGCAGCUUAACUGUAAAAAUGCCGUUGAAACUGUAGGACUUGAGUGUAAAUGAGGUAGGCGGAAUGCGUGGUGUAGCGGUGAAAUGCAUAGAUAUCACGCAGAACUCCGAUUGCGAAGUCAGCUUACUAAGCUACAACUGACACUGAAGCACGAAAGCGUGGGGAUCAAACAGGAUUAGAAACCCCUGUAGUCC